CGGGGCCUUAUUGUAGUGUUGCCAUAUUUUUUUAAUUGAAUAUGCACUUAUUUUUUUUGGAAUUUGAGAAAUGGAAAUGAGACAAAUAGGCCUAAAUAAUCUCACUUAUACAAAAUAGACACAAAAGCACAGAAGGUUUGUAAAACUAUUUUAUUUACAAGUCAAAAUGGCUCAAAAGCGGCCACAGUUUAUGCUCAUGCGAACUGUGGACAGUUUACUGUAGUGCGACGAUGUGGUGUGAGGAGCCGACAGGCAACUGUCACUCUCCUCUGCAUAGAAGACAACGUACAGAAGAUCUCAUGGAGUUUAUUAUACACAAAUGACGUGUGAUAUUAUAGAACUGCUUGCCAAUCUGUGCAUUGGCACUACAUCUUUAUAAGGCUUUAAGCUCUAUGGUACAAGGCAAGAUGACAACAGCCUCAGAGAUCUGCAUUUCAUGCUAUCAAACAUGACUAACCGAGUGUCCUCCACUUAAAGCUGAAACAUGACAAAAAGAAACAAGCGUUCUCAUGAAAGAAACAGGGUGCAGAUCAACCACAUUAUUAGGUUACUUUCAAUUCAUUAUCGAUUCAAGCACUUAACUCCAUGAUUAAUGGAAAAGCUCACCCCGAAAAGAAAAUUCUGGCAGUUUACUCUUAACGCUAAAAAUUCUCUCAAAUCUCAUUUACGCUUAUGUAUAUUCAAACAUACAUGUUAUGGUGCUUUUGCAUCAGCAUCAAAUGCAGCUGUUGUACUUGUGACUGAUUGUAAUGUGUCAUUUGAAUGUUUUGAAUUGAUUGUGAAUGCUACUGACACUUCAAAACAAAAACACAAAGUAACAAUAUGGCUUCAGAAGACUCAAGAUACACAGUUGUCAAAUAUCAAGUGCUGACCUAGUUACAUCUCACUUUUUGUCCAUUAAACCUGAAUAAUAUUGGAAUUCACACUCGGCUUCUGUAAACAGUAAUAGGAAUGCCUACUCUGAUUUGAUUGGCCAUCUAAGUAAUUUUGACACAACAUCUUUGCACCAAAGUACAACUAUUAUUAGGGAAAGUUUAUAAUACACCUCGAAAAGGUCCGCAUCUGGUGGACCUCAACGGUUGUUAAAACUAUGGAUAGAAGCUGUGCGGACAACUUACAGUACAGUUGUUUUGUAAUUACUGGAGCUCUACUUUAAUUUCCCUUUAUAGACUUUCUUUGUUUGAAGACAAAAAAAAAAAACAGCUUUGACAUUCCACUAAACUUCUCCUUUUGCGAUCAACGGAGGAAAUAAAGUCUUACGCAAUGAGUAAAUGACAGAAUUUUCAUUUUUGGGUGACCUAGUCCUCUAAGCAGUGGGUAAUUCAGGAAUGGUUACAAUUAAGAUGCAAAACAUCUCCUAAAAUGCUGUUUGCCCUCACUCACUAGCAAAUAUGUACACUUUCAACUACAUGCUACGACACAUUAAAAAUAUCAAAAGACCUUUGAGAACUAUACCCCCUUUGGAGCCAUGACCCAAUCCAUCUCACAGUGCGGCAGUACAGCUCUGUAACAUCUGCGACCCUUGAAUAUUCAGUGUAUUUUUUUUAAAGAACAGAAAACGAUAGAGGAUGAGGGCAAGAAUGCAGGAUCAGAGAUAAAUGGAGGAAGAGACAGGAAGUGGGAGUGUGGAGUGAAGGACAGCAGCAGGUAUCAGCCAGCCAGUUUGCUGGCAACCAGAGAGGGUUUCCUCUGUGGCAGGUCCUGAGGAGUGGGGAUGUGGUCUCCAGUGAUCUCGGUCUUCUCUGUCUGCGCUGCUGGAAGCUGCUUGUUCUUAAUCUUGGCCUUCGCCAUGUUGUAGUCGCCCGAGUCAAAGUACUUUGGCUGGGAAAGUAAGCAGUUCAGGAGAGUAAAACUUGUUGGCAUGAGUAAAUUAUAGCACAUUAAAUGUGUUGAUUGUGUUCCAAAGCAUACAUGUUGUUAAGACUAUUGAUAUACAUGAAAAUAUUGGAGCCACUGAAUGGAAAUGGAAAAUAUGUUAAACAAAAACAACACUGCCAAAUAUUAAAUUUCAAAUACAAAUAUCUAAUAUUAAAUCAUUUCUUAAUACGCAUCGUACUUUCACGAGCAACAAAGCAGACACCAUUUUUAACUGCAACACUACCAGUCAAUUCUUUGGAAUAAUUAAAAAACAAAAAUUAUGUGUUUAUGACUUCCAUAGAACCACCAACUGUUGGAUUACCAGCAAUCUUCAAAAUAUCUUCUUUUAUGUUCAACAUAAGAAAACAACUCAUACUGGUUUGGAACGACAUGAGGGUGAGUUAAUGAUGACAGAAUUUUCAUUUUUGGGUAACUAUCCCACGAGCGGAACAGUCAAACACAUCCAUGUUUUACACCUGUAAAGAACUACUACUGUAUGUCAAAUCUUUCAUGUUUGCAUCAUGGUGACAGGCUAAAACCUGCUGUUGUUUUUAAAGAACAUUUAUAGUUAAUAAAAGUGUACUGGAGAUAUAGCUUCAGUCAUUUUGAAUUUGAAUUACCUUGACUUUUAAAAAUUAUUUUACUCUUAUUAUUUGUAUAACACAUAAUAUGUAUAAGACAAGUUUGUACAUUAAUAAGUUGUAGUUUUUGCAUCUUUUCUGCAAAGAUAUUUAACAAGUGAAUAGUUUAAAGGUCACAUAUUUUACACCUUUCUGGAGUUUUAUUUUAGGAUUUGAUGUCCGGUAUAAGUAUAUUUGCGGUAUAAGUACCAAAAACCAUCUCAAUAUAUUUUUACAGCUCCUUUCUCAGGAAAUGCUGAGAACAGGUUGAUUUUGGCCUGUCUAAAUAUUAUUCAUGAGCCUCUCUUCUGAUUGGCCUGUUGUUUUCUGAGUGACACACGGCCAGGCCAACCACAGGUAACUAGGGUCAGCCGACGUCACAGCGCUAGCUGGAGGCAGCAAAACAAAGGGGAAACUAGAGGCGGCCCAUUUAAACCAGCGAGAUUCUGCUACAUAAGGAGCUUAAGACAUCAUCUUGUUGUGAUAUUGGGUGCCAGAAUCGACGUAAUACAGCCUCAAAUUAGAAAUUUGAUCGCAUAUCUGCUGCCACUGCCAGACAAAAACGCGAUAAAAUGAGCAGACUGGACAGAAACAAACGUCAAAAAUGCUCAUAUUUGCAGCGCACACUUCUUAUCAGAAAAGGUUCAAUAAAGUAUUGUCUUUUGUUGUUAUGGACGCGUCUACAGAUUUCUUGCCAUAUGUUUCUUGUAUCUCACAACUAUGUCGUGUAUGAAAUAAUGUCUGUUUGCAUAUGUGUAAAACAACAAACUGAUGAUUUAUAUAUAAUCAUUUGUAAUUGUAUAUUCAUUGUUGUGAUUAAUUGUGGCUGGAAAAAUACUGCCCUACAAAGGCAAAAGACCUUAACUCGCUACAGUGUGAAACUGAGUAAAAUUACUUUAGAGUUUUUUACUUGUCCAGCCAAAUUAAUUAUUUGUAGGACACUGGAAAUUAGGGGUCUGCAUGUGUACUGCACGUCGAUGUGGAAAAAACGACACAGAACGAUAGCCUGUGGCGUAAAGACUACUACAUAGGUCUGUCGCAGAAGUAUAAAUCAUCCUUAAGUGUAUACCAAUGACCGAGUUUAAUGUUCUCAAACUGACCAGAACUUGUGUCUGUUUUCUUGCAAUACUAAUGCCAUCUGUGGCUCAUGAGUCAUGACUCACAGAUCACAUGAUGCUGUGAUGUUCUACUGCUGUGAUCUAUAUCUCCUCUUCUAACACAGUUAUUUACCCUAACAAUAUGGGUGGUAGAAAGAGAGUGUGUGAAUGAAUCUUACCCCCUUCUGCAGCCUUUUUCUGAGCAGAUCGGAUCCUCCGGGUUUAUUACCCAAGUGAGGAUAUUUGGCCUUCAGUUUGGCUUCCUCCAGUUGUUCUGGACAGACCUUAUUCUCCUCAUCCUGAGAGAAAACAAACACAUCACACACAAUUUAAUGUCACACAUUUGAGUCAUACCGGCACCAUUUAAAUUGGAAAUUCUCAAAGAUUAACAAACAAAGCUUUCCCAA
ensembl:lncRNA